rnacentral:rRNA from 1 species
UAGGAAUAUUGGACAAUGGGGGAAACCCUGAUCCAGCCAUGCCGCGUGUGUGAUGAAGGCCUUAGGGUUGUAAAGCACUUUCGUUGGGGAUGAUAAUGACCGUACCCAAAGAAGAAGCCACGGCUAAAUUCGUGCCAGCAGCCGCGGUAAUACGAAUGUGGCAAGCGUUGUUCGGAAUCACUGGGCGUAAAGAAUGCGUAGGCGGCUUGACAAGUCGAGAGUGAAAUCCCAGGGCUUAACCCUGGAACUGCUUUCGAAACUGUUUUGCUAGAGUCCCGGAGGGGUUGGCGGAAUUCCGAGUGUAGAGGUGAAAUUCGCAGAUAUUCGGAGGAACACCAGUGGCGUAGGCGGCCAACUGGACGGGAACUGACGCUGAGGCAUGAAAGUGUGGGGAUCAAAC